UGCAGAUUCCUGGUCUUCAGUCCAGACCUACUGAGUUAAAAUAUUGAGGAGAGAUGGAGCUCAACAGAUGCCCUAGGUGACUCUGAUGUGGCCUAAGUCUGGGGAAACAGUACACCCUGCAGUACUUCUCCAACCUAACAGAAAUGCGGAUUCUGAUUCGGCAAUGUUUCCUGAAAUAUACCUGAGCUUGGAACAGCAUGGAUCUGUACGAGCUGGUGCCCCACUAGUUGAUGACAUGGCUUCAUGAAAACAGAGGAGCACCUCACCACUAGAAGAGACCCUUGCAGUAGGAAACAAAGCUGCAUGAGAAAAGGUG
rnacentral:lncRNA from 10 species